ensembl:lncRNA
CAUGAUUUUCACACUGCCCCUUGGCACCUGGACUCUGAGCUCUUCUGGGCUGCUGUACGUGAGAACUGGCUCAUGACUCAUGAGCAUCGUCCUCUGCAGGUGCAGAGAUUUCAGAGUUUCCACUCUGCUAGUGAAUUAGAAAUGAGGGUGCUGCUUAUCUCUUUCAAUUGUUGAGGAUGCUUUGAUAUUUCUGUCCCACAGCUAUUCUCCUCUCCAAAAAUUCUUUGUUACCUUGUUCUUUUACAAUUUUAAACACCCUUUUGGAGCUCUUUUCAAAGAGUUUUUUCAGGAAAGAAAUAACGAUGUCACAGGUGAAACAGGCUUAGUCUAAAGAGGAAGGAAGCUUGUCUCUCUAAUUACCUUCCCUGCAGACUCUUGGCCUGGAUGGAUGCAAUCAGCCUGGUCUUGACCGGUGCCUACCCUGCAGAACAGUGCAGGAACUACCGCCGGGUCACGUGGCAUCGCUGUCUGGGACACCGUGCUGUGGGUCACAGGGCCCUGUGCUCUUCUGCUUUUGUGACUCUGAUGUUUUCUUCAAGCACAAAGAUUUCGUUUCAGGAAAAAGGAUGGAGGAGUUAACACGGCAGACCAGAGGAGACGUUUCACCACAGGCUGUCCUCACCGUGUCAACAACACUGCCUCCAGCCUCCUCUCCGGUUUCAGUUCUCUCCUGCGGUUGAAUUGAAGUGGCUUCUAUGUGGUCUGCACCACAGCACAUUUUGAGUGGAUUCCUCGCUAAAAACGCUAUUUGGAAUCCUUGUGCUGAAACUCAAAAUCCCGAGAAAUGUGCCCAGAUUCAGAGUUUUCAGUCUUGCUGGCUGAGCUGUAGGAGACAGACAUUGAAUGUCAUGUUGCAGAGCUUGCUUUUUCAAAGGGAACUGUGAGCUGGGUUUCUCAAGUUCCAUUCUGUGACUGUGUCUCUGUUUUCAUUUUCAUGUGGAAGGGAUGAAUUGGAAUUUGGCAGAACUGAGGUGUCAGUACGAGCAGCUGGAGCCCAGGAGAGAACCCAGUGGUGGAGAGUGGCCAUGGAGGAACACUUUAAAGAAGCAGGAUCAACUUCGUGUGUAAUGAAGGUUAUCGAUUUAAUACAAAUUUGAAUAUGAAAAAUUAAAGAAUUGGAAUUGGGGUCACUGAGAAGCUGACAGUGAGAUGAUGUCAAGCACGUAAACUAAAUGGACAUGUUAGAGUGAGGACUGGUGUGGACACCACGAAUGAGCUGGCCGACCCCUGCUCUAAAUGAGAGAGAACCAGGACAGCGAGAAAGGAGAGGAGGAAAUGGAGCAGGUGGUUAGGGCCAUCCAGGGCAUAACGGGAGAAAUGAACACAUUGCAUGAAAUAAGGUAAGUGGUUCUUGAGGAGAAUCAGCUUCAUGGACAUUCUGCCUUGACCAGCCUGAGAAGUUGAAAGACCCAAGCCUAAAGAAAGUGAAUUUGCUUCUCUUCCUGCCCAAACUCGUGUCAACAACUGUGGAACAACAGCAGCAAUGACAACAGCAACACAUGCACACGCACACACGAAAGAUGAGACUUCUGCCUUUUGCUUCCAAGCUGUUCAUAUGGUGAUCAUUUAGCCAUUUCUUCCAUAAACUUCCUUUUAUCCUGUGGCUGAACUGACUGGCUUCACUUCGAGAUCAGGGACAUGGUGGUGUAUUGAGGACCCACACAGAAACUGGGUUCUUGUGGACUCUGUUGGAGCUCUCAUCUCAACCUGACAACCUGGAGAUGGGCAAAGUACAGG